UAACAGAAAACAAGAAAAACAGAGAAGAAGAAAAGAAAAACAAAGAAGAAGAAAAACACAGAGAGAUUUACGAUUUCGAAUUGAUCUUUGCAGAUCGUCCUACGUCUCGAAAGAAGGAAUCCUUUAUUUACGAAGAGUUAUAGAGAAAGAACAACCACAUACAAGUACAAUCUCGAUUACAGAUCAAUAAAUGGUAGAGAAAAACAAUCACAACUCUUUUUCACUUUAUGCAUUUUUUACACCAAAAAACAUAGGGACGUCUACUCCUUAAAUAGCAGACUUAACGACCUUGGC
rnacentral:lncRNA from 1 species